rnacentral:snRNA from 1 species
GGCUUUCUUUGGUUAUUUUUUUGCUCUGUCCUCCCCCAAUGUACUUACUAAAGUUGUAGUCCUUUUUUUUUU